UACGUAGGGUGCAAGCGUUGUCCGGAAUUAUUGGGCGUAAAGAGCUCGUAGGCGGUCAGUCGCGUCUGCUGUGAAAACUCGGGGCUUAACUCCGGGCCUGCAGUGGGUACGGGCUGACUAGAGUGCGGUAGGGGAGACUGGAAUUCCUGGUGUAGCGGUGAAAUGCGCAGAUAUCAGGAGGAACACCGGUGGCGAAGGCGGAUCUCUGGGCCUUACCUGACGCUGAGGCGCGAAAGCUAGGGGAGCGAACAGG
rnacentral:rRNA from 1 species